GCGUCAAAUAGACACAAGGAAUUACUACUCACCCGCAAUGGUUUGGCUACAAUCCCACUUUGACACCAAGCUGAAAGGUAAAUCUGCUACUCUGGUGACUCGAUCCCUCUGGUCAUUGUUCUCCAACCCUCGAUUGUCUACUGAAUAUUCAGGGAAGAAUUAUGGAAGAGUAAUAACGAGACACACACAAGUUGCUUUCCAA